CCUACGGGAGGCAGCAGUGGGGAAUCUUGCGCAAUGGGCGAAAGCCUGACGCAGCCAUGCCGCGUGAAUGAUGAAGGUCUUAGGAUUGUAAAAUUCUUUCACCGGGGACGAUAAUGACGGUACCCGGAGAAGAAGCCCCGGCUAACUUCGUGCCAGCAGCCGCGGUAAUACGAAGGGGGCUAGCGUUGCUCGGAAUUACUGGGCGUAAAGGGAGCGUAGGCGGAUAGUUUAGUCAGAGGUGAAAGCCCAGGGCUCAACCUUGGAAUUGCCUUUGAUACUGGCUAUCUUGAGUACGGAAGAGGUAUGUGGAACUCCGAGUGUAGAGGUGAAAUUCGUAGAUAUUCGGAAGAACACCAGUGGCGAAGGCGACAUACUGGUCCGUUACUGACGCUGAGGCUCGAAAGCGUGGGGAGCAAACAGGAUUAGAUACCCUGGUAGUCCACGCUGUAAACGAUGAGUGCUAGUUGUCGGCAUGCAUGCAUGUCGGUGACGCAGCUAACGCAUUAAGCACUCCGCCUGGGGAGUACGGUCGCAAGAUUAAAACCUUAAAGGAAAUUGACGGCUUGAGAGNGCGAGCGACACGAGGAGAG
rnacentral:rRNA from 1 species